UACGUAGGCAGCGAGCGUUGUUCGGAGUUACUGGGCGUAAAUGGUGUGUAGGCGGUUUUCUAAGUUUGGUGUUAAAUCUCCCGGCUCAACCGGGAGGGUGCGCCGAAAACUGGGAGACUAGAGUGCGGGAUGGGAGAGUAGAAUUCCUGGUGUAGCGGUGAAAUGCGUAGAUAUCAGGAGGAAUACCGGUGGUGUAGACGGCUCUCGGGACCGCCACUGACGCUGAGACACGAAAGCGUGGGUAGCAAACAGG
rnacentral:rRNA from 1 species